UUCUAUGUCUUCCGGUUUCAGCCAGUGAUUCAUGAGCCAGCUACAGUAUUUUGGCUAAGCUAAAAUUUUGGAUAAACCGAAUUUUGUUAUAAUAAAAAAUAAAUUGAAUUAUUAAAAAAAUUGCUUGAGAACGUCAAUCAAAUUUUGUUAACCCAGUUGCGCUGAGCAAGAACUUGACUAUAUCAUUUCCCGCCAAUUUACUACCUCGAUUGGCGCGCAGAUUCACGAAGAAUCGGAUGUCUAUUUAACCUCCCCAUCUGCUUUCUCCCCUGCUUCUGCUACUCUGUGACAUCUCAGAGAAAGCUCGAAAAAUGGAGAUCGUUCGACCUCAGUGGAAGCCUCCAUCCAAUGACGUCGUUUCAACACUCCCUCUCUAUCGCUCUGCCCCUGCUCUUGAAGUCAGACUCGAAGACUUCGAGCUCUACGCCAUGGAUCGCCUUCGAGUUCUUAAAGGGAUAUCCGAUGGAUUGUCUCGCGGGAAGAAAGCAGAAGAAAUGGAAAAAUUGGUAAAUGACCUUUGGAAAGUAAACAUGAAGCAUCCAAAGGCAGUAGAAGUCCUAGACAAGGAUGUUAUAUCUCACUUUGUUCUGCGUCUAGUGUAUUGUAGAACAGAGGACCUCAGGAAAUGGUUUCUUUCCAUGGAGACUGCCCUUUUUCGCUAUAGAUUUCGCCUUUUGGCUGCUGAUGCUCAGAGGGCUCUAUUGACAGAGUUUGGACUACCAUACCGGAUGGUUGCCAGGGCUGAAUUUGAGGGCAUAAAGGAAAAAUUGGUUCAAGUUGCACGCUCGAUUGGUCAGCCCAUGCUAUCUUCUGAUGCCAUAUUCUACAAGGUACCAUUUGAAGAAGUUCCAGAACUUGUAGCUGGUCGCAAGGUUUUUAUUUGUAAAGGGCAUGCUUAUGUUGCCAUGAAUCAGGUUGUUUCACUUGUUGUUACACAAUUUCGAAGUCUUCUAUCAAAGGCACUCAUUCUAACAAACAGGAAAUGGACAUCAGCGAUCAGAGAACAGGAAAAGGAUCGCUUAACUCCUAUUGUGGAAGCCCUAUGCUCAAGCUAUUUGGGUCCUGAUUAUUCUCAGCCUAAAGAAUUUGCCGAGAUAUCAAUUAAAGACAUUGACUUGGUAGCUAAGAGCUCAUUCCCUUUGUGCAUGCGUCACCUGUUUGAAAAACUCAGAGAAGAUCAUCAUUUAAAGCAUGGAGGGAGGAUGCAAUUAGGUCUUUUUCUCAAGGGCGUUGGUUUGAAGUUGGAUGAUGCUCUUGCAUUCUGGAAAGCAGAGUUCUCACAAAAGGUUGGUGCAGAGAGGUUUGACAAAGAAUAUGCUUACAGCAUACGCCAUAAUUAUGGAAGAGAAGGAAAGAGAACAGAUUAUACACCUUAUUCUUGUCAAAAGAUAAUCUCUUUAACUCCUGGUGUUGGAGAUCAUCAUGGCUGUCCUUAUCGGCAUUUCAGUGAGGAAAACUUGAGGGCUGCACUCUGUAGAAUGGGAGUGAAUGGUAGCGCAGUGGAAGAUGUAAUGGACAAAGUGCGAAACAGACAUUAUCAGUUGGCGUGCACUUUGACAUUUGAGGCUAUUCAUGGGUUAUCAUGUGAUGCUGGGAUUAACCAUCCUAACCAAUACUUCAGUGACAGCCAAAAGACCCUGAAAGUCAAGAGCCAUUCGUCGGAGCAACGAGAAUCUACUGUUGACUGAUCAUGCUGCUCCCUUGUUCAGGUCAUUAGUUUACUUGAUAACAAGAGAACUUUUCAUUAAAAAAAGGGGGGGAUGGACCUCACAUAUAUUAGUGAAGGUGAAAAUGGUGAAGCUAUGUACCCAUUCAUGUGCACAUGUACUUGGUGGAGAAGAAUCUACUUCAUUGUUUAAUUAAUAUGCAAUGCAUUUAUGUUUGUUAAUUAUUGUUUGAUAGAACAUUAACACAAAUGAGUAUUCUGGUUUGAAGUCUGAGAUUUUAGUUCUACUGGAAGAGCGGGAUGUUGGAGCAUUUCUAUUUUUGGGUAGAUUGGGACAAUUGUCCCAGCCUUUUGAUUAAUGAUUAAAAUAUUGAAAGCA